rnacentral:rRNA from 1 species
GACGAACGCUGGCGGCGUGCUUAACACAUGCAAGUCGAACGAGUGGCGAACGGGUGAGUAAUACGUGGGAACCUGCCCUCCUUUUUGGGAUAAGCCUUGGAAACGGGGUCUAAUACCGAAUCUGUGAAGGGGCGCCAAUAUCUGAUUAGCUAGUUGGUGGGGUAAAGGCCUACCAAGGCGACGAUCAGUAGCGGGUCUGAGCGGAUGAUCCGCCACACUGGGACUGGGACACGGCCCAGACUCCUACGGUAGGCAGCAGUGGGGAAUAUUGCACAAUGGGCGCAAGCCUGAUGCAGCCAUGCCGCGUGUGUGAAGAAGGCCUUCGGGUUGUAAAGCACUUUCAGCGGGGAGGCGUUACCCGCAGAAGAAGCACCGGCUAACUCCGUGCCAGCAGCCGCGGUAAUAC